AAAUAUUACAAGGUCAUUAUAAUAUUUGUAGGCCUUGUACAAUAUCUUAACCAGUAAACUGUCACAAAUGUGAAUGGAUUCAAACUAUGAUAAAAAGAGGCAUUACAGUGACAAAGCACAACUAAGUAGUACUCAUAGUACAUAAAUUAUACUAUUGUUUUUUCACUUAGUCAUUCACAAGCUCCAUUUCAUUUACAGAUUAUUAUUAUACACACAAAAACACAUGGCAUCUUUUUACCAGAAGAAUGUAAAACACAUAAGAAUGGCUCCAGUGGCUCCAAAAUGUAAAAAUGACGCUCAAACACUCAUGCAUUGGUUAUAAUAAUCCAAUAACAUGAUAUAUUUCUCGCUAUAGCGUAACAUUCACAGAGUAGUUUUAUGCACCAACAGUAUGGUUUUUUUUCCACAAUGUUUGGCUUGUACAAAGUGGCUUUUUACUUGUGUUACAUAUAUGUUGAAGGACUUUUACUUGUAACAGAGUAUUUUUUUCACGCUGUGGUAGUGCGUUUUACUUGUGUCCAGGGCUUGAAUUACAUCAGUACAACAUCAAAGUAAACACCUCUGGGGUUUGUCCAGAUUACUGCUACCAAGGUUCACACGGGAACCCAUUCCCUCAUAAAUUCAAAUAAUAUACAAAUGACGAUAAACUGCUUUCUCAAAAUCAAUUGUUCGACUCUAGUGGAAAACUGUGAGCCACACUUGACGCAACGUCUAGACGCACCUGAGAAAGGAUUUAGAGUUCAAGCACCCCUGUGUGUGAUUAAAGUGGUUAAGGUUUUUCUUGGCACAUGAGGGAGGAAGGUGGACUCAGGUGGACUGUAGUUUCAUGACCCUAAAGAUAAAGAAGAGGUGUACACAACAGGCAUUCUGACCAAUCAGACAAAGGAGCAGUUUUUGUUGUUUUUUUUCUACUGCCUAAGAAUACAGAAAAGUUUUCAUCCAGGAAACUAUCAAACAACACACACUAAUCAGAUUUGUUAUCCAUUCUUUUAUUGACAUAAAAAUAUCAGUCAUUGAGUUUUAAUAAAGUUUAUGUGUCAUUAUGGAAACCAUCUAUAAUCAUACAUAUUUUGUUUGAACCAUAAUGGGUCAAUGUCAGUUCACAUAAAUUAUAAUAGCAACCAGAGCAAGCGUAUACAAAACGAUAACCUCUGAAACACAAUAACUAAUUGUGACCUUCCUCACUGUGUUCCUCUGUCCGUCUGCUUCUGAGAGUUCAAAUGAAGCUCAAUCUCCUGUUUGAAGAACAGCUCCCCCAGCUGGCUGUGUGAGGCCUCGCUCAUGGCUUUGGUCUGCAUACACAUCUUGUACUUGUCUGGAGGAAGCUCGUCUGCACAGAUCUUCUCAUGCCACAAGUGGAAGAGGCUGCGAGAUGGAGCACGAAUCACCAUCAGCUUACUGUGAAGGCUCUGUGUUGAGACGACAGGAAGUUAAGAAGUCAGCGGUGAAGUGGAUGUCAACAUCACAGAAGAAGAGCAGCACAUUUUGGCUCUGCCUCCAAGCCCUGGCGCCUAUUUCUAAGCCACGGCCACGAGAAAACUCCUCGUUCAGCUGGAUCAAAGUGAAGCCCCUGAACCGCGUAUCUCUGAGGGACACAAGGAGAAAAAGUAGGAGAAGAAGAAAAAGAAGAAGACAGGAGGGCCGUCAUGGGACAUCAGUGGUUUCAUUAGACAGGUACUCUGGUGCUGCUGAGUCUUUAAAUUUGUAAUGUUCAAAGUGAAUAAUUAUCAAAAGAAAAGUGCACACACAGGAUCAUCAACUUUUGCAAAUGUGCAGCCUUACAUAGUUAAUUCAAAUUCAUAGGAAUCUACAAUGUUUUUCUAAUAACAGCCUAGAGUAGAAAAUAUAUUUUAUCAUCUCAUCCUGUACACCACAGAGGGGUGUGUGUGCGUGUGUUUCUCUCUGGGGUCCAGAGGACUAAAUUAUUAUCAGCCUAAAGCUGUGAAACACUGACUCUCCCUCACUUUCUGUUUUUAAUCUGAAAUAUCUGCAAUGCAGCACAGACAAAUCUCCAAAACAUGUCAUGGUCCUGGAGACUUGAUAUUAAUUCCUUAAGUGAUCAGUAUCAUAGCCUCAUCAUGCUGUUAUGUGGUGCAGACUUGAGUCAUAUACUUUAAAUCAGGCCAUGAAUCUGAUGACUUUGCAGCUGAGAGUACAAUCCCAGCACCUCAACCUCAUCAUCACAUUACCUGGUGGUCUGGUCCAUCAUCGCUUUCACCUGGUCUAUUUGAUCUCGACCAAAGUAGACCACAGUGAGAUGAACCCUGCCGUCCUGCUGGAUGCACACUUCCCUGAACCAAAAACACAAAAAGAGGCGUUAAGCACAAGUAAGUAAAGACAAUAGCCCUACUUCUAUAUGACUCUAUCAACUGUUUUUCUAUAUAAGGACAGCAAAUUACCAGUUUCACAUGUCCAAAUAACAGCAUGCUCAGGGUGGGAAGCUAAGAUGGUUUGAUAAUGUUGUUUUGCUGUGUGCUAAGAAGCAAAUCACACAAUGGUCGAGGAUCUGAUAAGUCUUAUCAUUUCAAUUCUUUCUAACUGAGCAGCAGCUUAAAAGACAGCUAAUUGUAUACAUCUAGAAGGACUCCAAGUCAUUUUACAAGCUAAAUAUAUUUCAAGACUUGCUAACUUUUGUUGGAGGACAGCUUCUGAUGGCAUUUAGCUUAUAUCUUGCAAACAUAACAUUUCAGUUAUACAACAUGAAGUGGGGAGAGUUGCCUAACUUUGUUGCCAGGGGUAAUAUUUGCUGGGAAAAGUGUACACCUCUAAUCUAUCGUUUUGGCAAGCUUACUUGUUAGCAUAACCACCCUAGUGAGAGAGCUAUUAUACUAAUGUUACAGAAGCUAACAGUAGCUGUUGUCUGACAAUAAUAAAAUACCUGAAGUUGUAUAUGAACUGCCUGAAUGCAUCUGGCCUCUUGGAAAGAGGUACUAUGAUGUUGAUGAGCAUGCGGCUCGUGUCCACACUCUGGCUCUUCACUUUGACCACGGGUCCAAAAGGCCUGAAGAGCACAAGCUGUGUGAAGUCCCGUGGGCCGUCGCCUUUAAACAUCAGCUCAUACACACUUCCUCUGUCCCGCUCCGUGCGAGUCAAUCCUGUGACAGUGACAGAGAAAAGAGUAAAACAAUGAGAUAACUCUU